CUCCGCCCUUGGCCUGGGUGGGCGCGUUCGGUUCUCCCGGCCGAGCUGAGCCACCCAAUUUGACCUAAUUCCUCCUUCUCAACGAAGCGUCCUAAACUGCCUGUUAGAAUUGAUCUCUCCCUGCUCGGUUUCCCCGUCGCCUUUUUGGUCUACUCUGAUGUCUACCGCAGUGCUGUUAAGUCACCUGUCUGACCCCAGGCUCCGGUGCAAGGCCCUGGAGGACAGUGGCCACAUCUUUGCUGCGCUCAAGCAGAGCUUGUAAGAACGCUUGCUACUUACCGAAGUGACAUUGCAGGAAUGCACUAAGUCUGCAAAUCGGCACAAUCUAGGAAACCAGGUUGUCUCCAGCUGUGUCUCCCCACCACCGGGAUCAUAAAAUGGGCACUUUGCAAUUCCCCACUCAAUCCGAUCCGUGCGUGAAGCCUAUCUGCAUCAGUUAAGCCCACAAAAUACUCUUUGAGGGCCCCAGCUAGGACAUGGGAUCUGUCUACACCAGCCAUGUGAACUGGUCAAGAAGAGAACAGACAUGUGGCCCUUGGCGUUUGCUGGGACCAAGCCGAAGCCACUACAGUUGGCUCUCUCUCUCCUUACCCUGCAAGAGAUUCUUUAAUGCUUACAGAGAUGUGCUUCUCAUGGUGUUAUCUCAAUUUCUGAGGAGAUAGAUCAGUCCCAAGGAGCAUCAACAGCCCCUGCACAGGUAUGUCACCUGGCAUAGGGCCUUUGACGAGGACAAGUCAUUUAGUCCACACAGAACCGGAGCACAGGUAGGGUGGACUGAGGGUUGUGUAGUGGGGGGAACACUGGAGGCUGGUUCAGCUGGGAAAGCAUCAGAGGAAUUAGGAAUACUUCCCUGUUGUCGGGCUUUCUUUCUGUCUUCUGCAGUCCCAUUUCUACCGUAGGAAAACACAAAGCCCAAUCCUGCCAUAUAAGCAAGCAGGAUUAUAAUCAGUCCUGCCUUUCUCUCUCUCUCUCUCUCUCUCACCCCCCUUUUCUUCCCUCACACACAUACAUAUACACACAACAUAUAUAUUUAUAAAGAAAUUGCUCUUUGACUGGUAAUCCUGUUUCAAAGUCUUCUGUCCUCAUUUUACUUUUUAAUUUAAAUUACUAGUUCUCUUCCAUACCCAGUUGGAUAAAAUCAUAAAAUUCAAAACAACACUUUAAAAGCUACAACAUAAUGUCUGAGCUAAAAGGGGUAAAUGUUUUGGGAAGGGAUCUGGUUUUUAUGUCUGCUGGAAUAGAAGUCUGAUCUUAUGUUUGUAUAUCAGAUAUGUCU